AUCAAUGAAGUGAAGGCCAAAUCUCCGAAGUGACAAACCCUCUCGACAUCUCAACACUCUCGGACGUGCGCUCUUCUCUUGUGCGCGGACGGGAGCUCUCGUGGGCACUCUUUUCUUCCGACCUUUGACAACCAUAAGGAGCUCUCCCUCUAGACAUCUCAACACUCUCGCGGGCACUCUCCUAUUGCUGACCUUCAACAACCCCGGAGGAGUGUGCUAGAAAUGUGGUGGUGCUCCAAAUCCACAAACGCUACCAAAGGAGGUUUCCUGAAACGUGGUGGUGCUCGUGCGAGUUCGCCGCCGAAGAGAAGACUAGAAGAUUCGGUUCAGGGUUGAACAGACCCACCAUCCAAGCCUUGCCGGUGACACACCUUCGAUUCCCGCCGCCAAAAAGCUUCUGACUUUGGAUGAUGCAGAAGUAGAUACUGUCAACACGAUUUAUGGGUCUGAUAAGGUGGUGGUGAUGAUUACCAAUUUAGAGCCUUUCUUUGUGAGAACAUUCACCGUGCUUUCUCUUUCUCACCAUUGCUUCGGCUUGCUUGAGAUUCAACCUUUUUAUACUAUUACAGACUACCUUUGAUGCCCCAACUAGAGUUGCACCACUGACUUUAGACAUGGCCAGUAUGGGAAAAGGUAAACUGUGGAUAAAUGGACAAAGAUUGGGCCGCUAUUGGCCUACUUACAAAGCAUCUGGUUCUUGUGGUUACUGUAACUAUGCAAGAACAUAUAACGAAAAGAAAUGUGCAAGUAACUGUGGCAAGGCUUCUCAAAGAUCGUGAGAAUAUCUAGCUUAUUCUGUAGUUCUAUUCAACGUUUGUUAAUUGAAUUAUUUAUUAUAUAUUAUUAAGGUGAAGUUCUAAUUUUGGUAGGAUAAUGAUAUGUAUUAGAUGUAACUUUUAUCCUUACUUUAUAGUAGUUUAUAAUUUGGCCGAGAAAUGCAUCCAGUUGAAACCACAAUCUAGUACACAUAGGUUGGCAAGACUUAUGAUUGGAAUUCUUGAAGAAAAUACUGAGGUGAUUAUUGGACUAUUGCUGUCAAAGAUUUAGGUCUAUUUUUUUUCCUAAUAUUCUAUUAUUUGAUUCAAUUUUUCCCUUCACAUUUUAAACUUGGAUAAGCAUUGUGCAAUGUCUCAGGUUGUUUUAGCAGAUGUUCCAAAGAAUUUGGCCCUUAGUGAGAGCUGUUUUCUCUUCUAUUGUUAACUGAUUCAAAGUAAGCUUACAAUCAAAAUUCUCAAAACCUAUUUUGCAUUGAUUUUUUAAUUUAGUGUAGUUUUGAUUAUAAUGGGUUUGGGGGGAAUCAGCAUAGUGGAGAUACAUCAGGUUACAUAUGCUCAAAUUCUGUCAUCACAUGCAUUGACCUAGCAAGUGAGUGCUAGUUACUUAAGCAAAAAUAUCCUAUUAAUCUGAUGUCAAAUUGAUGAAUAAUGUUUGAUUAAGGCACAUCAAAAAUUGCUAUUUCGCAUAUACAGAUGCCUUUGAUUUUGACAUAUCGUUGAAAAACCAAGAGUAAGGAUGAAAUUGAUGUCUUGUAAAUAGAAUUUAGCAUUACCGAGCCAAUGCCAAAUGAAAGUUAAUUUAUGAGAUUACAGUUUGAUCAACAGGACAAUAAUUUGUUUGGUGCUCCUAUGGUCUAAUGUUCACACAUCUGCAGAUAACUCCAAUAUAUUUAAAAUCAUGCAUGAAGCAGGGAAUGUGCUUGUUAGAAAAUUUAUUUUACAGGAAAUCUAUUCAACAAAAUGAUGUGUUGCUUAAGGAAAAUAAUUGUUACUCAUGCAAAAUAUUGAGAUAUGCCGUUUGUAUGAGCUUGAUCAUAUCAGUUCAAAUAUUAUAAAGGUAACCUGCAUCUUUUGAUUGCGUGCCUGGCCUGGUGAUGGAGGAGGCCCAUGGGCUAAGGGCCCAACUACUAGGGCUAUGACAAGAAGGAUGCAUGAAGAGUGGGCCCAAGCCCAAGAAAGGCCCAUCACUUUAUUUUGUUGGGCUUUGUCUCAAGCCCAUUAGAUUAUGGUUAGUAUAGGAUUAGGCCUUGGUGCCUUGUAUUUCUUUUUGGGCCUUGUAUUUUCGGCCACUUAGGUUAGGCAUUUUCAUUUGAAGGUCAUUUGAAAUUAGGGUUAAUUAAGGUUGCAUGUGAAUUGUCAUUAGAAUGUAAUUAGCUUUGCAUUUGAUAUGCAUUUCGGCCAUGUGCACACAUGCACAUGGUGUGACCGAAAUGCAACUCAAAUGGAAGGCAAAUCACAUUCCAAAUGAGGUGCA